AUAAAAUUAAUACAAAAAUAAAAUAGCUUCUUGUAACUUAGUUAACCCACAUCGAUUGAAAAGCCAGACAUCCAAACCGAGUAACUAAAUCAUGAUGCGAUGGAAAACCUUUACACAUGCAAUUUCACUACACAAACAAGUACUAGGCCUUUGUGUGUUGUUGUCAUAAAGAGUGUAAAACUUUGGAUAUUGACUGUAACUCGGGCGAUUUCUGGUAUGUGUCAGGCGAUUUGUUUAUACCCUAGCCAGACCACGAUCCAUGUCCACUGUUCAAGAUGGCGCCGUUAUUGAUUGAGAAGUUAUUUGCAUCAAAUUAAAAAAAAUGCUAUAGGAAGGCCAUUCCCCGUUCCCUAUAUUAAAGAUAGC